UACGAAGGGGGCUAGCGUUGUUCGGAAUUACUGGGCGUAAAGGGCGCGCAGGCGGUCUUCCAAGUCGGAUGUGAAAGCCCCGGGCUCAACCUGGGAACUGCAUUCGAGACUGGGAGACUUGAGUUCGGGAGAGGAGAGCGGAAUUCCCAGUGUAGAGGUGAAAUUCGUAGAUAUUGGGAAGAACACCGGUGGCGAAGGCGGCUCACUGGCUCAUUACUGACGCUCAGGCGCGAUAGCGUGGGGAUCAAACAGG
rnacentral:rRNA from 1 species